UGGGGCUGGAGGGGAGUGUGGAGCGGACAAGGGAGUCACGGAGAGUGUGGUCCCUCCGGAAAGCAAAUAAGGAUGGGGAGAGAAAUUAUCAGUCUACUCCCAAUAAUCAGCGACGUGUUAGAAGAAGUAUCGUCAAACAGUUUUGGCAGGGAACUAGGAACGUUAAAAUUGAACCAUUGAUGGACCAGAAGCCAAUGUAGAUCAGAGGGCACAUCAAAAAUCAGAGGCGGAUUUAAAGUCAACAACAUAAAUGACUGUUCUAACAGUGCCUCGGAUACAGUACCAGCUAAUGAACAAGGAUUCCCUUUCAAGUUUUGGAACGAAAUUAAUUGUAAUUUUCUGUUUAUUCUGUAAAUAAAUGUCAGCGUCCAAAACCUGGAUUUAAAAUCAAUCAAUUAAAACUCUACAGUAGAUACUUCCUAUCAAUUGUUUGGCGAUGUUGCCAAUUACAGGAAGACCCGCCUAUUCGACCCUCAUUCGUCCAGUGUCAAGAAUAAUAUUGUCGUCAGUUAUUUAAUUAGACACUGAAAGCAUCAAUCACUUGACGCUGGAUGGAAACUUCGCCUUUGUGCUCAGCGGAGAGACAGAAGUGAAUUGCGUAUUAUAUUGGACGCAGGGAGACGCUUGUUUUGCUCACCCCUUACCUUCAUCAUAUGCGAUUGGUACUAAGGAGAGCAGCAGCAAGAAGGAUAGGCUCAUGUUGUGUGGCACCCGGUGCAGAGUAUUGCUGGUCCUGAGAUCUGGGCUUCCAUUCCGUGCAGUCCUGUUGGCCGCCUCCUGGGCAGUUUGCCAGCGACGUGCACUACUCGGAACUCACCGCUUCCUGUCAUCAUACAAAGGCGGAGCAAGGAGCUGCCACCACCUCUCCCUGGCGUUAAUUCACAGGAGACACAGGCUGUAGAAACCUACCUGCACCAUUCCUACAUCAGGAAGCAAAGCUGGGGGGAAAAAAAAGAUAAUUUUCCUUUCAGUCUGGCAAUCCCGGUAUUCCUACAAAUUCUGUCUGACCUACCUUUUACGAUAUUAUGCGUGAAAAUUUGUAAUUCCGCAAGCUGGCCGUAGACGGCACUCGCUUUUAACCUUCAAAUCGCUUCUUGAUUAUUUUAAGAACUGAAAAAUUAGGGAGGAAGCGCAUCUUUUGCCGUACGUAUAUUGAAUAUGUUUAUUGAAUUAUGUUUUGGUUUCAAAUUCAAGAUGAGCUCUCUGAAGCACGUCUGCUUCACUACCCAAGAGAUAGUCGGAGCUGCAGAAUCCAAGAUAGCAAAGUGUGAAGCUGAAUGAGCACAGCAGGCCCAGCGGCAGCACCCAGCCAGCCGACUUACAGCUCCUGACCAUUGUCUACCUGCAGUCGUAUUUGUUUUCAUAGCAUUGCACAAACUGGCAAUCUCCAGAAUGACAAGAGGCUAAUGUGAACCCCACAAAUUUUUAAGCUUCGGCUGGGCCCAAACCUUUGGAUUUCCUUCAUUAAACGUCUUGUUUUUCCUGCUUUAA